rnacentral:misc_RNA from 1 species
GAUGAAGAACGUAGCGAAAUGCGAUACGUAAUGUGAAUUGCAGAAUUCAGUGAAUCAUCGAAUCUUUGAACGCACAUUGCGCUCUCUGGUAUUCCGGAGAGCAUGCUUGUUUGAGUAUCAGUAAACACCUCAACUUCCAUAUCUUUUUUGAAAUGGGAGUUGGACUUGAGUGAUCCCAACGCUUUUCCUCACCGAAAAGUGGCGGGUUACUUGAAAUGCAGGUGCAGCUGGACUUUUCUCUGAGCUAUAAGCAUAUCUAUUUAGUCUGCCUAAAAAACAGAUUAUUACCUUUGCUGCAGCUAACAUAAAGGAGAUUAGUUCUUGUGCUGACUGAUGCAGGAUUCACAAAGACAGGCUUCGGCCGACUUUGUAAACUCGAUCUCAAAUCAAGUAAGACUACCCGCUGAACUUAAGCAUAUCAAUAAGCGGAGGA